rnacentral:lncRNA from 1 species
GUGAUCCGCCCGCCUCGGCCUCCCAAAGUGCUGGGAUUACAGGCGUGAGCCACCGCGCCCGGCCAGAAAUAGAUUUUAUAGUUAAAGCGAUGUUCUUCAAGCUGGACUUUAUGCCACAAGGGGAGUGUAUUCUAAAGGGGAAGAAAAGGAUUGUGGUUUAAAAGAACAAUUGUAAUAUUUCCUUCAUUCUGAGGUGUAUUUUUCUCACAUUUUCAUAUUGUAAUUAGGAUACCUGUUAACAUUGGUGUACAUUUAAUGUAGUAGUACUUUUUCUCCUUUUGCCCUGCAAGUUGUCACUAAAUUUGUGCUAUCAUAAUUGUUACCUUCAUAGAAUGCUUAAAUAGUGGUACUUCUUUGACUUGUUAGGUUUGGACUAUUUUCCUUUUCUUCUUCCAUUUGUGAGGUAAAUUAGUGGUUAUUUUGGUGCUGGGUGCUAAGAAACUCGCAAAACAAGGGCCCUGCUCAAGAAGGAUUGAAACUUAGUCCUUGCUGGGUACAAAUUUAGAAAUUUGUUAUAUAACUGUGGGGCAAGGGACAACAUUUCACCAGGAAGUAGCAACUCCAUCAUCUUUCAGGAAGGGCUGAUGGUUAGGGCAUCUCUGAAUGAUUAUUGGAGGGAAGUGGCUUUAUGUCACACUUGUUUUCUGUAAGUCUUACUCUGUAUCUACCCGACUUCAGAUCAUGGUGAUUUAAUUACAUGGCCCAAUCAUGUUUUCUUUCCAGGGCUGCUUGAAUGCUUGAAUACUUUUUUUUUUGAGAUGGAGUCUCGUUCUGUCGCCCAGGCUGGAGUGCAGUGGUGCAAUCUCGGCUCAUUGCAAGCUCCGCCUCCCGGGUUCACACCAUUCUCCUGCCUCAGCCUCCCGAGUAGCCAGGACUACAGGCAUGUGCCACCAUGCCUGGCUAAUGUUUUGUAUUUUUAGUAGAGAUAGGGUUUCACCAUGUUAGCCAGGAUGGUCUCGAUCUCCUGACCUCGUGAUCCGCCCGCCUUGGCCUCCCAAAGUGCUAGGAUUACAGGCGUGAGCCACCGCGCCUGGCCAGAAUGAAUACUUUUAAUUACUACUAUGAGUCUUUUUUCAAAGUGCCUCCACCUUAAAAAAAAUUCCUUAUUUUAUUCACUUGCCAGAAUAAUGUUGCAUUUGAACCAUGCCAACGGUAGCUUAUUAAAACAGCAUUUAUUUUUCUCAUUCAUGGGUCAGCUGAACUUGUCUCUAGCCUUCAGAUUGGGCUCAGGUGGGCUUUGUGUUUGUCAUUCUGGAGCCUAGUUCCAGAGAGCAGUGGCUGCUUGAGUGUGGACUUGCUUAUGGUGGGCCAAAGAGGGGCAAGGGAAAGCGCAUUUACACUUUCUCGUAUUCCAUUGCCCAGAGAUGGCAUAUAGCCGAUCCCAAGUCAGUGCUAUUCAUUCAUUUUUUUAAAAAAAUUUAUUUAUUUAUUUAUUUAUUUAUUUUCAGACGGGGUCUUGCACUGUUGCCCGGGCUGGAGUGCAGUGGUGGCAUCUCCGCUCACUGCAACCUCCACCUCCCAGGUUCACAUGAUUCUCCUGCCUCAGCCUCCUGAGUAGCUGGGAUUACAGGUGUCUGCCACUGCGCCCGGCUAAUUUUUUGUAUUUUUAAGGGAGACUGGGUGUCACUAUGUUGGCCAGACAGAUCUCAAACUCCUGACCUCCUGAUCCGCCCUCCUCAGCCUCCCAAAGUGCUGGGAUUAUAGGCAUGAGUCACUGCGCCCGGCCUAUUCAUUCAUUCUUACAGUGAAUUAGUAAAUUCAACAAAUAGGUUUUUUUAAAGCAAUUAAGGCACUGAGGAUAUACAGAGAGUAAAAUAGAUGUCUCCUGACUUCUACUUGGAAUUUUCUUUCCCUUACAGUUUUGAUAGCUGCUUUCUCUUGAAUAACUAUGUCAUCUCUUUCCACUUUGCAUUGCUCCCAAGAGAGUAAUGUAAAAGUUUUAUCUGUGCAUGCAUAUUCAUGACACAUUCAUUUGUCAUUAUUUAUCAAAAACCUGUUCCCUUCCCUGGCACUGGAGACAUUGGAGAAUGACAGUCUCAAGCAGUGCAGAGAUGUAAGCAGGCAGAGGUAAGGACUUUGGUCUCAAUAGCCUACAGGGUGCUUCAUCCACUCACUGUAUUCUGUGUGCCUGUGCCGCGGUGCAGGUGGUCAGUUGGAACCCCUGAUGGGUAUCUGGGCCACUGCCCAGGCCACACAGAGCCUUUGUGCAAAUUAGAAAAGGCCCUUCCAAAGAUACUUUAUGAACGACUUGUAAUAAUUUAGUGAUUUUAUUUUCCAAAGCAAGGCAUUUGGUUGCUACCUGCUAGAACUGUUACAGUAAAUACACAGAUCUAUUUUGUGAGCAAAUAGUACUGCCUUGGAUGUGGUACCCUUGUGCAGUGCACAACUUGGACAGUUCAUACACAAUGUUGUAUUGAGAUGAUUGUUAUUCUACAUUGUAUUUAUUUAGAUAGUGGGAUUGAAAAUAGGCUAAGAUGGAGAACUGGGUGGGGAACAAUUUGUAAUCCUUUUUAGUUCAUAUGUCACAAUCACAGAAUUGAGACUAGCUAGUUUAAAUCCCUGCAUCUUGCACAUGGUGAGGAAAGGUGAGGACAUUUAGAUGACCUUUGCCUGUCACCACACAGCUGUAUGGUAGCAGAGCUGGGCGUGAAACCUGCAUUCCUGGCCUCUCCUUUUGUGGUGCUUACAGUGCUGUGUUAGGUCCAGUUUUACCUCUUAAAUCUGUAUUAUUACUUUUUUUUCGAGACCAGAUCUUACUCUGUCGCCCAGGCUGGAGUGCAGUGGCGUGAUCUCGGCUUGCUGCAAUCUCUGCAAUUCUCAUGCCUCAGCCUCCCAAGUAGCUGGGACUACAGGCGUGAGCCACCGUGCCUGGCUAAUUUUUGUAUUUUUAGUAGAGAUGGGGUUUCACCAUGUUGGCCAGGCUGGUCUUGAACUCCUGACCUCAGGUGAUCCGCCCGUUGCGGCCUCCCUAAGUGCUGGGAUUAUAGGCGUGAGCCACUGCGCCCGGCCUGAAAUGUGUAUUCUUAAGUCCGCCUUUCAAAGUUGAGUACUGCAUUCUUGCGGCUCUACCUAAGUUUCUCCUAGAAUCUCCCUGCACUUCUUGUUUUGCUGCCAUCAGGUAAUUUGUGCAUUAGAACUAGCUUGGAACAGAAUGGGUAAACUUCUGUGAAGUUAGACACUUGCCUCUUAGAGGCAUAUCCAGUGAGUCUUUAAAGCCCUACGUUAUAGAAAAAUGUGAAGUAUGUCUAAUAAAGGAGUACAGUGGAAGGUUUAAAAGCACAUUGCUGAUUAGUGGGGUCAGGAUGGGAGGAGAGCCCUGAUUUUAAUGCAGUGUCAUAGUCUCAUAGGUGAUUUCCCCAAAAGCAAAUAAAUGCUCGAUGGAUUUUGGGUCCACCAUGCAUCUCUGAAGUAGAAGUGACAGAUUUUCAAGGCUAAGGUAAGUAUAGCAUUUUCUCAACCCUAUUACAAUAGAGCACAGGAUCAUAACUGUUCUGUUUGCUCUGAUGCGUCCCGCAGAGCAGUGCUUUUUCUCGGUGUGAACUGUGGAUCACUUGUCUCAGUCAUCAGGAUUCCUGGACCCUGUAGGAUUUACUCUCAAUCUUUAGGGGUAGAGACUAGGAGCCUACAUUUUGAACAAGCAUCUUUUUAUUUUGAUGAAGUUUGCAUUAUUACUCCUAACAACGUGCCCUUUGGCAGGUAGCUUCCACUUUUCUGGCCUCAUUAUCUGUAAAAUUGCAUACUUAGUUAUCAUUGAGGUCUCAAAUGCAGUUCGGGUUCCUGGUUGGUGAACAAUUAGAUGGGAAGGCUGAAAAAAAAAAUACUCCUGAGAUUCUGAAUCUGUAAGUAUGCAAUGGGACCUGAGAAUCAAUCUAAUUUCUAAAAGAUUCCCAGAUAGAACUUUGUUGAGCUAUGUUUAGGGACCAGUGCACACCUUGGUGAUAGAACCUUUUUGAAACUUUGAAAAAGUUAAAAGGGUUCUGUGUAAUGUUACCUAAGAAGCUUAUUUUUAAAAAAGGAAAGCAGUGCUUAGGGCCAUAUUGUUUUGAAAUAGGAUCUGAGCACCAUUUAAAUUUUUAUAAAUUAUUUUUUAGAGGCAUCACUUCUUUAAAGCCCAUCAGAUUAAUGUGCCAUUGGUUUGAAAACCAUGACAUGAGAUGAUUUCUUAAGGUUUUAUUUGUGUCAGACAUGAAUUUUAGAGUAUUUCUGGGCUAUAGGUCAUUACAGCUUUACUUAUUUAUUUUUUGGAGACAGGGUCUCACUCUGUCACCCAGGCUGGAGUGCAGUGUCGUGGUCUUGGGUCACUGCAUCCUUGACCUCCCCAGCUCAAGCGAUCCUCCCGCCUCAGCCUCCCGAGUAGAAGGUACUACAGGUGUGUGACACCACGCCUGGCUCAUUUUUGCAUUUUGUGUAGAGAGGGGGUUUUGCCAUUUUACCCAGGCUGGUCUCGAACUCCUGAGCUGAUCCUCCCACCUCGGCCUCCCAACGUGCUGGGAUUACAGGCAUUAGCCACUGUGCCCAGCUGGGUAUGGAUUUCUGAGUGGAGGGAAUGUGAACAAAGGAGGGCCCAGGCAUGUUUGCAGAGUGGCUGGGGGCCCUGCUUCACCACGGCAUAGGGACGGGUGCAGUAGGAAGAAAGGUAGCCUCAAGGCCCCCAUAAAUAAAUUGGUGCAUUAAGGAAGGAAUAUUAAUCACAUCCAGGAGGGCUCUGCCCUAACUGCUGAGAAUCAUAAAAGAAAUGGGGACAUAUUCUGGCGAAAUAACAGCUUUGUUAAUUGAGCUCUUACUGUGUGCCUUUGCACUGUGUUAAGCACAUGGUGUUAUCACACUUGCUACUCACAACAGCUCUGAGGUUGAUAGUACAGGUAUCUUCUUUUUAUGGAGCAGGACUCUGAGACAUCAUAAUUGCUUGGUAUAUGCAGCCAGAGUUGGAAAUCCUAUCUGUCUGAUUUUGGAAACUGUGUGCUUACCAUUACAUAUCUUAUGUGGAAAUAAAAUGUAUAUGAUUAAUUACAAAGCUGAAAAUCGUAGUUGAAGCAUCAUAUAGUGCACAGGGCAAGCAAAGCAGCAUAAAAGGCUUCAUCUGUAAGGGUAGGUUUGUUGGGUAGGAGCUUUUUGGGGGAGGUGACUUUAGGAUCAGUUGUAGCAUGAGAGAAUAUGACACCUUCUUCCUUUAGAGGAUCUAAAGGUGUAGCUUUAGAGGAUUGUAGGGUGCCUUUGCCCAUUGUGUCAUUUGGUCCUUCUUAAAAUUUGAGUGUUUAUUCUCUACAUGGCACUCUUUUAAGCCUUUGUGUGAAUUAACUCAGUCUUCUCAGCAAUCCCCCAUUUUUUCAUAUGUGGAAACUGAGGCAUGUUAUGAUACAAAGCUUGUCCAAGAAUUCAGAGCUAGCUUGUCCAAGAAUUCAGAGCUAGUAAGUGAGGGAACUGGGAUUUGAAUUUAAGCAGUCUGUCUCUAGAGUCUGCUCAGCUGGCCUUUUUUUCUUUCUUCUUCUUCUUCUUCUUUUUUUUUUUUUUUGUAUAAUAGGCCUGUGAGUUGGGAAGAGCAGGGUUUGUUUGGUGAGAAAGUUGCACCUUAGUGAAUACCCAAGGUCUGAGGGAGGCUUGGAGCCAGCUCUGCAACCUGGCUCCCUUCUUUCAUUAGCUUGACCCAAGCACAGGGAGAUGACUGGGGCUCUGCCUUCAUCUUCUCUGCAAACGGUCAGGGAUACUCAUGCAGUUUUUGAGUUUAAGUAGUAAACUCCUAAACUUCAAGUCAUGUUUGUAUUAGUGAUUUCACUUGACCUCAGUACAACUCUGUAAAAGAGGCAGGGAUGGAUGAUGUCAUUUGUCAAAUGGUAAAACUGAGGCGAAACAACUUGGCAUUGUUGGUGUUGUGCGAAGUACAUGCAUAGGCUUUGGAUUUGAGUUUGGCUCUGCCACUAACUUGAUCUAUGUCUUCAGGCAAGUAACUUAAAUGCUCUGAGUGUUGCAUUCUCUGUGAAGUGGAAAUAGCUGUACUUUGCCCAAGAGUUGUGAGAGUGACAUGAAUUGCUAUAUGUGAGGUUCUUAGCAUAGUGCCUGGCAAGUAGAAGGUACUCAUCUGUGAAUGGGGUAGAUAGCAGCUGUCUUCAUCACUGUCAUCAUUGUUGGCUCACAUCAAAUCAGGACCAGAAAACCCUGUUGACUUCUGGGUCUUAAACUGCUGUAUCAGUGAGGGGCUUCCUCCUCAUACUCAUUGCCAGGAGUAGAGUAAGGCUUUUAAUUUCAUCUCUAACCAACUCUGAUAGGGCUGGAAAUGUGUAUGGAGUUCCAGACCCACCAUGGGGCCCCAGUGCUAGCUUCUUAGCCCUCCUUUGUAAGGUUUGCACUAGUUUGAUGGGAGAGGGAUUUUUUUUGUCUUGAUUCUGAAGCUCUUAAAGAAAUGCUCCUUUUUCUCCAUAACUUGAGGAUUUCACAAUUGUAUUGGAAUUAUUGGUGUUAAGGAGUUAGGUCCAUCUCUUGGCAGCUUGUGAAGGGUGGGCAGGCACCUGUGAAUUCUUCACUGGCUUCUUGUAAGAAUGACUUUACUGGAGGGUGCUGAGUUUGUGAUUAUCUCCUCUGCUGCUAGAAAACUCCGUGAACCCUGGUACAUAUAGCGUGAUAAAUCAAGUCCUGUUUUUGCUCCUAACUUGCAUUAUGGUGUUUGAUACUAUAUCUUCAUUUCUCCCAUGGUAGUAAUAACACUGUUGGAAAGAGCUCUCAGUUGGAAGUUGAAGAUCCAGGUUCUAGUUGAGGCACCAGAGUUUCCUUGGGCAAGUUGCCAUACCUUUUUGGGCCUUGGUUUCCUCAUCUCAAUAAAAUGAGUUUCUGUUCCUUUUUGGUUUGUGUCUUUUUUUCAGUAGGCCUUCUUUUUCAUAAACAAAAGCUUAUAUAGAGCCCCACUGUAGAAACAGAAAAGGUGUAUGAAACAGAGUUGCUGUAGUUAAUGCAGGCCCAGCAGCUUUACUCUUCCCACUGCCUCCUUGUUGCAAACAGAGAUAAACUUUGUGCAGCCCUAGUAACCUCUAAGGUGUUGCCAAGGGAUUUGAACACGACUGGUGCAGGUUCAUUUCUGUAGCCUCUUAAGUUUCAGGAUUUUUUGCUAGCUAUUGACAGGUAGUUAACAAAAAUCUAUAAAACCUGUAUACUAAAUAUACAAGUAGACUAGUGAGUCUUCAAGAAUUUUGUGAUUAUUAUCCCUAUAUGGAGAAUCUUUUUAGAUUUUUACUGAUAUAGUUGAGAGAUUCUAAGUUUGGUUCAGUCUGUAGUUUUAAAAAAAAUGUAUAGCAGUAACCAGUAAAGACCGAGUUGGUUUUUGUUUAUAGGAUAAAUACGGCUGCUUUUUUUUUUUGAGACGAAGUUCCGCUCUUGUUGCCCAGGCUGGAGUGCAAUGGCGUGAUCUU